rnacentral:rRNA from 1 species
AACCUUUGCAAUGUGCGAAAGCACGACAAGGUUAAUCCGAGUGUCUUCUGCUAAAGAAGUCUUUUGUUAGUCAUAGAACCACUGAUGAAUAAGGGGUGGGCAAGUUCUGGUGUCAGCCGCCGCGGUAAAACCAGCACCUCGAGUGGUCAGGAGGUUUAUUGGGCCUAAAGCAUCCGUAGCCGGUUGUUUAAGUUUUCGGUUAAAUCCAUGCGCUUAACGUAUGGGCUGCCGAAAAUACUGGACAGCUAGGGAGUGGGAGAGGUACACGGUACUCAAUAGGAAGGGGUAAAAUCCUUUGAUCUGUUGAUGACCACCUGUGGCGAAGGCGGUGUACCAGAACACGUUCGACGGUGAGGGAUGAAAGCUGGGGGAGCAAACCGG